rnacentral:rRNA from 1 species
CGGCGGACGGGUGAGUAACGCGUGGGUAACCUGCCUCAUACAGGGGGAUAACAGUUAGAAAUGGCUGCUAAUACCGCAUAGGACCACAGUACUGCAUGGUACAGUGGUAAAAACUCCGGUGGUAUGAGAUGGACCCGCGUCUGAUUAGGUAGUUGGUGAGGUAACGGCCCACCAAGCCGACGAUCAGUAGCCGACCUGAGAGGGUGACCGGCCACAUUGGGACUGAGACACGGCCCAG